GUGUGAGGUAACACAAGGAUACAAGACUUGUAUGAGGUUGCAGGCAUGUGUGUAGUUCUGUGUGAGGUAACACAAGGAUACAAGACAUGUAUGAGGUUGCAGGCAUGUGUGUAGUUCUGGGUGAGGUAACACAAGGAUACAAGACUUGUAUGAGGUUGCAGGCAUGUGUGUAGUUCUGUGUGAGGUAACACAAGGAUACAAGACUUGUAUGAGGUUGCAGGCAUGUGUGUAGUUCUGUGUGAGGUAACACAAGGAUACAAGACUUGUAUGAGGUUGCAGGCAUGUGUGUAGUUCUGUGUGAGGUAACACAAGGAUACAAGACUUGUAUGAGGUUGCAGGCAUGUGUGUAGUUCUGUGUGAGGUAACACAAGGAUACAAGACUUGUAUGAGGCUGCAGGCAUGUGUGUAGUUCUGUGUGAG